rnacentral:tRNA from 1 species
AUUUAUAUAGUUUAAUUAAAAACCUUAUAUUUUCAUUAUAAAAAUAAGAAAUUUCUUUAUAAAUU